GAGGCGCUGCCUGGCCCGUCUGGCGCCCGCGCCCGCGUCGGCUGGAUGGACCCAGGAACUUCCGGCCGCCGGGAGCCCAGGUGAAGAAACUGAGGCUGGGAGCGGUUUACUAACUUGCCCAGAGUUCCACAGCGGGGAGGUAGCAGAACCUGAGCCGGACUCCAGCACUGGCUCAGCUCACACCUGGACUCUGAUGAGAAGACCAAGACUUUAUGCUUUAAAAUAGGAACGCAACUACUGUGUAAAUCAAGGGAAGACCAAGUUUUGCUUUGCUCAAGAGCUUUAGCAAGGACUUAUCACCAUUUUGGAAAAUCACACCUGUAUUGGCAACAUGACUCACGAUAGAGAAAGAAGAAAUUCACCCAGAUACCUGCUGGCAAAUCUAAUUGUUUGAGGAUUUUGCUUGACCAUGGGAUGAGUCCCCAUACGACACACCUGGAUCCGUCUGCAUUUGUUGAUGUCGCGGUCGCCGUGUUUCAUGGUAUAUAAAA